rnacentral:lncRNA from 1 species
AACCCCCAGGGAGAUACACUAAUCCCUUCUAAAAUAUCGCUAGUAAAUGAUUGUCUAGCCUCUGAACGCCUCCAGAGACUGGGAACUCACUCCAUACUGAGCCAGCCUUAGCCACACUGAGGUCUCAGACCUCACCUCCCGCUGCUGUUGACACCAAGAAGGAUUUGACUCUGCCCAGCUUGUUUAAAAUACCAGAAGUUUCCCAACAGGCAGCACAAUCAUAUCCAAAUGAAAACAUGUCUGAUCUUGACCUUCCUGUCAUUGAUCAAUAUGUCCUCUGUCCAGACUGCUUGAGAAUGAAGGCAGAGAGAUGGGGACUUAAUGGGAAGCAGGACACAAGAUAUCAAGGCCUUCCCCAUUUCAUACAGCCAACCAAAAAAAUGAUAAUUCUGGAUGCCCCAAAGCAUCUACGAUUUCCCAUCAUGGAUUUUAUGAGUGACAGGAUGAUAAGAUCAAAAUACAAGCCUACAGAAACCAGUGUCAAUCAGGACAUCGAAGCAGAAAAUGUUCAAUACAGACUGCCAAUGCGGGCCAUUUGGGGUGCCAAGAAGCCUUUACAGACACUAUAUACUGAUCUUUUAACAUCCUGCCAGAGUUCACGGCCUUCUAAAAAAGAAUGUUCUCCAGAGGAAAAGAAUAUAUGGGCAGAAUUCAAUAUCAGCAAGAGCCCCAAGCAUAGUAAAUUCCACUGAUUUUCUAUCAACUGCUGCCCUCUUCUCAUGUCUUCCUGCCCUCCUCCCAUGCCCAGUCUUGGCUAAGAAAGGAGGCUCUUUUGCAUUCCUUCCUGAUGAAGAUCUUUUACUCCUACUAUUAUGUCCACCACUUAUAUCCUAAUAAUAUAGUAGCUUAAUUUAUAGGAUUAUAAAUACAAUUGGUUAACAUAGAACAUUG